rnacentral:lncRNA from 1 species
GAGGAGUAUGUAUUGGAGAACUGCAUGGCAACUCAUUUCGCUUAGCUCAUCCAUGAACGAGGAGCACGCAUUGGAGAACUGCAUGAAAAUAUAUUCCACUCAGCUCAUCCAUGGACGAGGAGCAUGCGUUGGAGAACAACAUGAAGAUCCAUUCCGCUGAGCUCGUCCGUGGAUGAGGAGCAUGCAUUAGAGAAUCAUAUGGUGAUGCAUUCCACUCAACUCAUCUGUGGACGAUGAGCACGCAUUAGAGAACCGCAUGGAGAUGCAUUCUGUUCAGCUCGUUCAUGGACAA